rnacentral:rRNA from 1 species
CACGCAGGUGGCUGAGUCAGUCGAUUGUGAAAGCCCUGGGCUUAACCUGGGAAUUGCAGUCGAUACUACUCAGCUGGAGUAUGGGAGAGGGUAGUGGAAUUCCCGGUGUAGCGGUGAAAUGCGUAGAUAUCGGGAGGAACAUCAGUGGCGAAGGCGGCUACCUGGCCCAAUACUGACACUCAGGUGCGACAGCGUGGGAGCAAACA